CAGCCGCCGCGGGAAUACAGAGGGUGCAAGCGUUAAUCGGAUUUACUGGGCGUAAAGGGCGCGUAGGUGGUUAUUUAAGUGAGAUGUGAAAGCCCCGGGCUUAACCUGGGAACUGCAUCUUAUACUGGGUAACUGGAGUGCAGUAGAGGGUAGUGGAAUUUCCGGUGUAGCGGUGAAAUGCGUAGAUAUCGGAAGGAACACCAGUGGCGAAGGCGGCUACCUGGACUGAGACUGACACUGAGGCGCGAGAGCGUGGGGAGCAAACAGGAUUAGAUACCCGCGUAGUCCCUGUCUCUUAUAC
rnacentral:rRNA from 1 species